rnacentral:rRNA from 1 species
GUGGGGAAUAUUGGACAAUGGGCGCAAGCCUGAUCCAGCCAUGCCGCGUGCAGGAAGACGCAUCUAUGGUGUGUAAACUGCUUUUGUACGGGAAGAAACACUCCCUCGUGAGGGAGCUUGACGGUACCGUAAGAAUAAGGAUCGGCUAACUCCGUGCCAGCAGCCGCGGUAAUACGGAGGAUCCAAGCGUUAUCCGGAAUCAUUGGGUUUACAGGGUCCGUAGGCGGUUUAAUAAGUCAGUGGUGAAAGCCCAUCGCUCAACGAUGGAACGGCCAUUAAUACGGUUAGACUUGAAUUACAAGGAAGUAAAUAGAAUAUGUAGUGUAGCGGUGAAAUGCUUAGAUAUUACAUGGAAUACCAAUUGCGAAGGCAGGUUACUACUUGUGGAUUGACGCUGAUGGACGAAAGCGUGGGGAGCGAACAGGAUUAGAAACCCGGGUAGUCC